rnacentral:lncRNA from 1 species
UUUUUUCUUUUCUCUUUAAAUUAAGGGUUUGUAGUACGCAAUACGUCACUUUUGGUUCAUAUAGUUGAACUUUAUUUUGUAAAAUAUCCUAGUUCUAGUUUAUUUGAAAAUAUGUUUGAGUUCGUUGCUCCAUUUGGUUAAUUGGGUGUAUUUCUCAACAAAAUUUGUGUGUUGUACUUCAUUUAUCUUUUAUAAAUUUCUUAUUUUUUUUGUUUGAGCGUAUUUGUUAAAAAUUUAUAAGCAUCAUAGAGUCAGGCCCACAGUUGUUCGAGCCCUAAUCUCAAU